UGAUGAUUGACAGGGCUGUGUGAUUGGCUGAUCGUCUCGGUGUGAUGGGGGCGGCUUCCACCCCCCAAAAUGUUUCGGAUUGUGUCGCGGUGUGGGUGCCCAAAGUUUGGGCCUUGCUAGAGUCCAGACCUGCUGACCCCCACCUGUCGACGUUUCUGGUAAAACAAGUAAUUAUCAAAUUAGACUACAGCCGCAACAGCGCCCCUCACGCCAUAGACCGGUCAUAGGCUGACACCUGGUGGGUUGAGCUCUUCAGAAGCACGCGGCGCUGAGCUGAGUAGCUUGUUGCUGCUGUGAACGUCUGUCAGAGUGCAAGAAGGGAUCACGCGUUGCAGCCUGCGUGUCUCUCUGUCUUCCUCACCCCUCACCCCUCACCCCUGUCUCUCUGUGUGUGUCCUCAGGGGAGGGGGCAGCAGCCGUUGGAGCUCAGGCAGGGGUUUCCGGUGGGGAGGAGUGCCUCUGGGUGGAGUGCAGGAGGAGGAGCUGUGACUAAAUCUUUUGUUAUCUCGCCUUCUGCACACCAAUCCUGGCUGCCUGACGUAAACGCUUUAUGCACAGAGUUCCCAUGAAGCUUGCGAGCUCCUCAGCAGUACAAACAGGACCCAGACUGGGUCAGAUGGGUCAGAUUGGAUCUUGGUGGGUCACUAUAGGUACAGGGCUCACAGCACAACACCCCAGACCCCUGCAUACUGUUGUGCUCUGUCUAGAUUAAAGCCAUUUAGAGGCAGUUUACUUACCCUUCCAGUCUCUGUGUGAGCUCCCACCCUGGGACAGGUUAGUCCUGGGACAGACCCCUGUAAAUAGCACACAGGGACAGGGAUCUGUUGUGUUACUCCGGUAGCACAUAUACUAAAAUUGGAACGAUACAGAGAAGAUUAGCAUGGCCCCUGCGCAAGGAUGACACGCAAAUUCGUGAAGCGUUCCUCAUUUUUCUUUUUUUUUUAUUUAAUGUUUGAAACAGCGCCUCGUGGCCGGUGGCGGUACUGCAGCGGUAGUGGCGCAGCGUCUCCGUUUAAAACUCUUUCCCUGUGGGAAACUACAACAAAACCAACAAAAAAUCUGGACUUUUAUGACUCUACUGUACUCAAGUAUGGAUAUACAGCCUUUUUGUUCACUCUGUGCCGGAGAAAAGAGCCAGGAGAAGGACUCAGAGCUGCUGCCUGAGUCCUGGCGGGCAGCUCUCACUGCGGAGCAGCAGCAGCGGAUCAGUCGGGCUGUUUACCAGGGACAGCUGGGGGAGGCCUCGGCUCAUCGGGCGAUUGCACAACUGAAGUGCCGCACUCCGGACGAGGCUGCUGCCAUCCAGUCGCUCGAGGAGGUGGAUGAGGGUAUCGAGGAGGACGUUGAGGACCCUACUGUCUUCGAGCCCACCAGCACAGCGGCCCGGUCAGGUGAUCCAGCUGACGCACCCAGGUCUGAGCCGUCCGGUCUGGUCACCCUGACCAAUAUGCCCCUCUCUGAGGCCCCUGAGGUUUAGACUCCUGCUCCCCAGCAGUCCUCCUCUGACUCUGAGGAGGAGAUGCAGGGUCGUGACGGCCAGCCGGGAUAUCAGCAUGUCCUGAAGCCGGCCCAGGCCCUGCUGGAAGCACGGAGCCUUCAGGGGCUUUCUGACAGGAGAGUGGACACUCAUCGUGCUCUGGCAUCGCCUGCCAGAGCAGGACAAACAGCGAGUUGUCUACCCUUCAAGGAAGCACACGGGAAGGACACCUCCUGUCCUGGGAAGGAGAGUCUCUGACGCUGCCUUCUCGGACUGAACUUGGGCUCUGCAAACUGGCCCAGUGCCAGCCGCCUGGUGGAGCCCAUUUGCAGCCAGCUCUGACGGGAUCAGGAGGACUCAGUGGUCCCUCAUCCUCACGGACUACGUGGCCAUUAGAGAGGGAGUGCUGGCCAGCCCCAGGUUGAUGCCGGGGAGCCAAACCUGGCGGCAGACAUCGCAGUAGAUCUGCAGCAGGUGUGGCCAGCCCGAGAGGAUCGACACUGGCCACUCUCUGUGGAUGAGUGGAGGGAGGAAAUGAAGAGGAGGCCAGCGGGGGACUGAGGGACAUUUUAUCAUUUUGUUCUAUCUUCAUUAAUUUAAUUAUUUUUAUACCAUUUUUAUGAUUUAAAAAUCUAUAUUUUUUUAUUUUACCACUUUUUUUUAUUCAUUUUUUGUUGCAUGUGGAGUCAUG